GCUGGGCGUGGUGGUGCGCGCCUGUAGUCCCAGCUACUUGGGAAGCUGAGGUGGGAGGAUUGCUUGAGCCUGGGAACCAGAGGUUGCAGUGAGCAGAGAUCACACCACUGCACCCCAGCCUGGGCGACACAGUGAGAUCCUGUCUCAA
rfam:Homo sapiens chromosome 1, GRCh38 reference primary assembly.